GCAUAGCCGAAUACUGUGUUCUUUUAUCAGUAGUUUACACAGCCAGACACCAUGCAAAAAUGUAGUCUUCCCUUUAAAAUUGUUAUGAUGGUAUGCUAAGUCUUCUUCAUAGCAUAUCGUUAUUAAAGGUGAAUACAAAU
rnacentral:snoRNA from 15 species